rnacentral:piRNA from 1 species
UGCUUGCAAGUCUUAACAUGUUUGUUUGA